CAGGGCAUAUGUUUUAAAUGAUAACUUUGUGUUUUGGUGGUUAAAUUAGGAGAAUAAAGAUCUUGUUUGUUGUUAUUAAGGUUGUGAAAUUUUAUAUAUGUACAGAUCUAUAUAAUUAUGCUUCUAAAACAAUUUUAAAACAUGGAAGAAUAUGUACUGCAAAUUUUUGUACAUGUUAUAUGUAAUCAUUAGAUUAUGUGCCUUUACUUUGGCCUUUCUCAAAUUAUAUGCAUGCUUUACAUUCCAUCACCAGAGAGAGGCUAACAGGGCAUGAAUGUAAACAAAUAAUGUCUGACCUGAUAAGCCCUAGCGUGUUAAACCUCAUUUUUGUUGUUGUGUUCCACUAUGUGAUUCCAAUUCUGGAUAUGAUUAUACGGUUAUUUUUUUUAUAAAAUACCUGAGGAUGUGAGUUUAAUAAGUGCAGGGAUUGUGAAAAUAAAAAGGAAUGAAUGAGAACAUUUCAAGAUCAAUACAUGACAACAGUUGCUCGUUUUGAAGCAUUUCACACAAUAAGAUUAACGAUCAUGGACACCAUUUCGAAAAAAAUCUGAAGAUAAUAGAUGUUUGACUAGAGAAGUUAUGAACACAACAGUAUGAUGUCCACUAGAGAAGAUUUUGCCAGAUGAAAGGAAUUCGUUUGAUAACAGUCAUGAACACAAAUUGACAACUGGUAUUUGAAUCGCCUUAAGUUGUAAUAUCUCUUCAUGGCAAAUGCAUAACAGAUGAAAAAGAAACUAUCAAACAGUUCAAAGAAGAAUUACAGAAAACUUAGGAAGAAAACAAACAGUGAUAUUGAACAUUUGAUACAAACGUCAAUGUGAUAUUGAACGUUUGAUACGAACAAAUUUUCAAAUGAUGACAGUUGUAUACCUUGUUAUACAGGAUUUCCAACAUAUAUAUAUAUAUAUUCAUUACAGUUUUCAAUGUUAUAAAACAUCAGCAAAAACAUUAAAAGUGUUUAUAAUGAAGCAAGCAAAACAAUCAGCUUGACUGGUAGAAAGAGAGGGAUGUUGCAAGCUGACGAAAUGUUUUUUAGCAUAUUUUAAAGGACCAUUUGUUUAGUCUUUUGCGUCUUACAUUAAAAUAAAUAAUUAAAAAGUUCUAAAUCAUCGCAUUACUUUGUUUUUAACAUUGUGCUUUGUUGCAUAUAUGGUCCAGCUGCAGGGAAUAUGUCAACAUGUUAAUUACAU